rnacentral:rRNA from 1 species
GAUGAACGCUGGCGGCGUGCCUAAUACUUGCAAGUCGAGCGAACAGACGAGGAGCUUGCUCCUCUGACGUUAGCGGCGGACGGGUGAGUAACACGUGGAUAACCUACCUAUAAGACUGGGAUAACUUCGGGAAACCGGAGCUAAUACCGGAUAAUAUAUUGAACCGCAUGGUUCAAUAGUGAAAGACGGUUUUGCUGUCACUUAUAGAUGGAUCCGCGCCGCAUUAGCUAGUUGGUAAGGUAACGGCUUACCAAGGCAACGAUGCGUAGCCGACCUGAGAGGGUGAUCGCCCACCCUGGAGCUGCGACACGGUCCAGGCUCCUACGGGAGGCAGCAGUAGGGAAUCUUCCGCAAUGGGCGAAAGCCUGACGGAGCAACGCCGCGUGAGUGAUGAAGGUCUUCGGAUCGUAAAACUCUGUUAUUAGGGAAGAACAAAUGUGUAAGUAACUAUGCACGUCUUGACGGUACCUAAUCAGAAAGCCACGGCUAACUACGUG